rnacentral:rRNA from 1 species
GACGAACGCUGGCGGCGUGCUUAGCACAUGCAAGUCGAACGGAAAGGCCCUGCUUUUGUGGGGUGCUCGAGUGGCGAACGGGUGAGUAACACGUGAGUAACCUGCCCUUGACUUUGGGAUAACUUCAGGAAACUGGGGCUAAUACCGGAUAGGAGCUCCUGCUGCAUGGUGGGGGUUGGAAAGUUUCGGCGGUUGGGGGUGGACUCGCGGCUUAUCAGCUUGUUGGUGGGGUAGUGGCUUACCAAGGCUUUGACGGGUAGCCGGCCUGAGAGGGUGACCGGCCACAUUGGGACUGAGAUACGGCCCAGACUCCUACGGGAGGCAGCAGUGGGGAAUAUUGCACAAUGGGCGGAAGCCUGAUGCAGCAACGCCGCGUGCGGGAUGACGGCCUUCGGGUUGUAAACCGCUUUCGCCUGUGACGAAGCGUGAGUGACGGUAAUGGGUAAAGAAGCACCGGCUAACUACGUG